AUGGCAUCUCCGGAAGGGUUCUUUGGGAUUGAUACAGUUGUCUCUGUUGGUCCACUACAUUUUGAGGUGGAAGCAGGGAACCUGUCACUUGGCCUGAAGAUUGUAGCCUUUGUUGCACAUCCUGUUGUAACAGAUUAGGUUGUUGUAACUGCUGAUGAUGCGACUGAAGGGGCAUCAUCUGCUGCUGGGAUGGCUGAUUUUGUGACUGUUGUCCCUGAGAAGGAAAUAAGCCAUGGCCAGCCUGGUGUGUUCGUUGCAGCGCAGCGGUUGGCUGUGGUAACAUGUGCACCGACUGCUGGUUAGUCUGGGAACUGAGCAACUGUUGUUGUGGUUGCUGCAGUCCUGCAACAUUGCUUUGAAUGCCCAGUGGUUGCUGCUGAUGAAGGCUGUUUUGUUGAGAUAUGAAUUGCUGCUGGGCCGGUGGGUGUUGAUUCUGCUGCUGUUGCAUGUUCAUAGUAUUAUUUUGUUGGUUCAGUAACCUUUGCUGAUGUUGCUGCUGCAUAGCCCCAACAACAUGCUGCCCCAUCAUCUGCCUCUGUUGGAUGACAGAGCUAUUUGAAGCUUGUUGCCGCUGGGGAGAAAUAGACUGCUGCGGCAAUGAAGUUUGUUGCUGAUGGAUCACAGAGGCUUGUUGUGAUUGCGGAUGCUGCCUUAGCAGCGAUGAUUGAGCAGACACUUGAGGACUUGAUUGUUGAUUUGUGUGGAGACCUUGGAGGGGAGCUGAGCUCACAGCUGAGGGCUGCGUCGCAGAUGUCGUACUACCAGGCUGUAUCUGCGACGGCAAAAGCGAAUUGGGAUUGGAAAAGUUCCCUGACCGAAAAUUCUGCCUGAGAAGUUGCUGCUGCUGAGAAGACAUAGUAUGCGGCCUGCGCAACAUCUGCCUAUGGGAUCCUGAAAGCAUGUUGGAUGAAAGGCCAUGCUGCCCAGAUGAAUCUUGCAACACUCCAGCUACAUUUUGCAUAUUGGAAUUCUGAUUUACAACGCUUGUAACAUUAUCAUUGCCUAUGGAAGAAACAGGCGGUAUGGAAGAUGGUAAACCAGUAGAGCCCGCCAUUCCAAAGGCUGUAUUACUCUGAAUGGUUUGGGACAUCAACGGCUGAGGUGCUUGAGAUUGAUUGUUCGGUAACGUUCCUGGAAGAAGUUGCCCUCGAUUGGCGGGUACUAUUCAAGGAAAAGUUAAACCGCACCAAAUUAAAGAAACAGUCAUCCAAAAGAGCCAGAUAAGAAGAGUUAAGUAACACAUGGUUGAGAAUCAUGAUUACUUGAAUCCAUUGAUGUGGUAUUAUUAGCAGCAGGGGUAGUUGCUGAAGGGCCAGCUGCAUUUUGAGAUUUAGUCUCCAUAGCCAGCAUCUUCAUGGAUAUCUUCCGAAGGUAAUCAGUCUGAAAGCCGAAAUAAAAGAAAAUCAGGGAGGUGUAAAUGGAUUUGAUACCCCAUAGCUUUACUAGUACCAAAACUCGUUCUUCAUCAGGCUGUUAAGAAAAACAUGAAUGUUCAGCAGCUGAUUAAGUACCUGGUUAACAGCACCGCUGAAAAUUUUCUCCUCGAACCUGGCAGCAAUUCUCAUGAGCUCAUUAAUUCCUUCUGGUCCAGAUUGAGGAAGGUGCCUGCUUAGUAUUUCCAUUCUGCGCAUAGAGUAAGAAAAACAGAAGUAAAGGUCAAAAAAGUGUAACAUUUUGGAGACAUAACAUUACAACAAAACCAGUUAAUAUUAAAUAUUAAAUAAACUUACAUCUUGUUAACGAUCUUCUGGCGUGAAUCAGGUGGCAACUGUUUUCUCCACUCACCAUUGUUAAUGGCUGCAGAUUCUCCAUUUGGAAUGGAAAGUCUCCAGUUGUUGUUAUCCAUCAAGUGUCCCUAAGUUUGCAAACCAUGAUAACCAAAACAUGAUGCGCAUAUCGCAAGGAAAAAAAAACUACAAGAAGCAGACAGAAGAUGGAUUAUUAUUAUUCACACUCAUAAUUUCUCAAUAUAUGUUGCUUUCCUUUUUUUCCAUUUAUGCCAAAUAAUCAGACCAGCCAGGAUAAUAAUAAUAGCAAGUUUGAGACAUCAGAAAUUAAAUAAGGAAUCACCAACCCUGAAGAAAAUCAAAACAAGUUGUGUUCACUGAUCAGACAAAUUUUUUUUUUUUUUUUUUUAUUACCAGCUUUGUCUCCUGUCCGUAGCAGAAAGCCACAUACGAAACGAAUAAACAUACUUUAUGACAUGACACAAACAAAGUUAAUCAAUUCUCCUAAUUAGUAAGAACCGAGAAUCACAACCUCUAGAGGGCGAUGGCUAUAUAGUAUAGCUUCCCGAGACUCCGACUACAAGAUAAAACUCCAAAAGCAACAGAAUGACACCAAAACAAAAACGAGAUUCGAAAAUUUCACCUAAACUUUUCAAAGCGUGUCGAGGCGAUUUCGCGGUUGCUACAAACGAUUAGAGUCUGACUUUAGGAAAAAAAUAGAAGUUAAAUUAAGGUUUAGGUUAAUCGCGAAAUGAAAUUGAAGAAUAUAUAAAAGAAUGUUUCUGGGCAAACGCAGAGGAAGGAAACUUCAUGCGUCUUAAGCUGACAACUGUGUCCCCUCAACUUUGCUUACGAGAGCAUGUUUGACAGGGUUCUUGUGGGGUUUUCAGCUAUAAGAAUUCAUUUCUUAGCUUUUAAAUACCUACUUUUAGUUAAAAUAUUAAUAGAUGGGUUUUUAUAUUCUAUGACCAAAGUUUUCAAUGUGUUGAGCUGCUUUUUAAAUUACUAGAAGCCCCUCCAAUUAAACCGCAUAACUAGUUCACUUUGUAUAAAUAUUGUGUGUCGAAAGGUUCUUUAAGACGACGUUUUAAUAUCGAUUCAUUCAUGUCGUUUAAACUUUCAAAAGUAGUUCUUGUAGCGCAUAUCAACUAAUCAACCAAAACGAAAUAAAUGAAUAUUAAGAGUUACAUAAACCUAUUUAUAAGUGAUAACUCUAUUUUCUUUUAUCAAAAUAAGUGAUAACUCUAUUAGUUUUUGUUUCCACCAAAAAAAGGAAGAGAUUCUUUUUCCUUUGCUACUGUUACUAAGAAACUAGAAAUCACACUUGACAUGUUUAUUCAUGGCUCUUCAUGCCUCUUGCAGGUUCUUCUUUAUACACAAAUAUGUACAUGCACUUGCCUUCCCCCUUAUUUGGCUUUAGCUUUCCUCUUUCAUACUCUGAAUCUUCAAGGAUAGUUUGCAAAAGUAGUCCAUCUGAAACUCGAAAUCAACACACAACAUCAAGAAACAAAGGAGGGGAUGAUAUCAAAGGAAGUACACAUUGAGCUUAAUCACAAAUAGUGAAACCUGAUUUUUCGCGGUGUUGAAAAUUAACUCCUCGAAGCUCACAGCAAUUCUCAUGAGCUCUUCGAUUCCUUCUUCCCCAGAAUAUGGAACAUGUUUCUUCAGUGUUUCCAAUCUGCUCAAAUGACAAAAGUAACUUAUAAACAUAUUCAUGGCUAAACGUUGUAAAACAUUCUACAUUUCAACAGAGUUUUAUCAUUAAACUGGCUUUGGGGGAGGGAAUAAGCAGCUAAGAGAGAAAAUAUGACAAAUAUGGAGGAUGAACAAACUCACAGCGUGUUGACAUUCUUCUGGCGUGAACCUGGUGGAUGUAGAGCUCUCCAGUCACCUCUGUUUAUGGCAAGAUUACCUAUGUGGACAAAGCAAAGCAUUAAGUUCAGAUUUCUAACUCCAUUCAAACCCUUCAAGAGAAACGAAUCAAGUGGGAAAAUGGAUGCAGCUGAGCUCCAACAUCCAUAUAUUACACCACGUAAAUGGACUGCAUCGACAGAUUUUCUUGACUAUCAUGAGAGUGAUUACCGUUCUGAGAUGACUGUUGCUUCACAGGCUGCAUCUGAGGUUGCGGAAGCUGCCCUUGCUGAACUGGCUUCCUCGGCAUGUGCAUAUUUACGAAACGUUUAAUCUGCCUCUCAUAAGAAGCCACCUUAUCCUUUAAUGCAGGUUUUAUAUUUCUCUUUGAAACGGAUAGGAAUUGUAUCAUUCGCUCCAACAUUGUCUUUAAUUGUUUCAAUCUAUUAAACUGCAGAGAUCUUUGUUGAUGCGGAAAAGAAUUCUGCUCGAGACAAAAAAAAGAAUGUUUUCAACAAGAAAGAGACGAGCACAUAGAUUGCAAGCUAAAGGAACAUAAAUAUCCGAUGUUUACUUUCUAGUGGACAGUAAAAAUACGAGCAUCUUUUGGUGCAAUGGUUUUCAAGAUGCCAAAGUUGUAUGACUUUCUUUUGCAAUAUCGAACCGGUCUUGCAUUGAAUUCAUAGGGAAUUCUCGCUCAGAUACUCUACUGAUUCGGAGGACAUACACUCUACUCUCCUAGAAAAAUAUAUCGCAACUUACUUGCUGCAACUUGGCUGCAACUCUCUGUUUGACUUCUUUUAGAUCUGAUAAGUACGUAUCUCUCAAAGUUUUGAUCUGCAAAGACAAGCACAAAGAUCACACGGUUACUCAUUACGAUGAUAACAAAAUAAGAUCACCUGCCGUGCUGCAUUUAUCUCUUUUAGAUUUAAUAAACGUAGACAGAAUAGGUAUAUAGAUAGCAAACUUAUUUAAUCUCCCCCAAACACUUAUGAGUACUGACGGCAAGACUAAGAGGCCUGAAGCAUUACCCAAACUAGUAAGAAAAACUACCUUUUGGUAAACCUCCUCUUGCCAAUCAACAGCAUUUCCACUUUCCGUCUGUGCCAUGGAGUUUAACAAUGCUACAAUUUAUAAAAAUGGGGUUUGUUCAGCAUCAGAUCCAGCUGAGGGAUUAUGUAAAGUAUUGACAAGGAUGUAAACGCAUACAUACAGGAUGGAAUCUCUGGAAGGGUUCUUUGGGAUUGAUAUAGUAGUUGUCUCUGUUGGUCCACUACAUUUUGAGGUGGAAGCAGGGAACCUGUGAAUUGGCCUGAAGAUUGUAGCCUUUGUUGCAGAUUAGGUUGUUGUAACUGCUGAUGAUGCGACUGAAGGGGCAUCAUCUGCUGCUGGGAUGGCUGAUUUUGUGACUGUUGGCCUUGAGAAGAAAACACAACAUGAGAUGAUUGUUGGGGAAGCUCCCCUUGCUGAACUGGAUUCCUCGGCCUUAGC
rnacentral:lncRNA from 1 species